rnacentral:rRNA from 1 species
CCUACGGGGGGCUGCAGUAAGGAAUAUUGGUCAAUGGACGAAAGUCUGAACCAGCCAUGCCGCGUGGAGGAUGAAGGUCCUCUGGAUUGUAAACUUCUUUUAUAUGGGACGAAAAAAGGGUUUUCUAACUCGUCUGACGGUACCAUAUGAAUAAGCACCGGCUAACUCCGUGCCAGCAGCCGCGGUAAUACGGAGGGUGCAAGCGUUAUCCGGAUUCACUGGGUUUAAAGGGUGCGUAGGUGGGUUGGUAAGUCAGUGGUGAAAUCUCCGAGCUUAACUUGGAAACUGCCAUUGAUACUAUCAGUCUUGAAUAUUGUGGAGGUCAGCGGAAUAUGUCAUGUAGCGGUGAAAUGCUUAGAUAUGACAUAGAACACCAAUUGCGAAGGCAGCUGGCUACACAUCUAUUGACACUGAGGCACGAAAGCGUGGGGAUCAAACAGGCUUAGAUACCCUUGUAGUC